AUAAAGCAAAAGAGUUACAAUUAAAAUUAUCUUGUUGUGCUUGUUCCAACACUAGGACAGUUAGUACGAUUAUGACCGGGCUGGCGACAUUAAAAUUAUCUAACCAUUUUGUUCGCCGUAUCCAUUUUGGCUCAAAUACGGGUGCUGUUUGGGCGACCCUUUUUCUUUCUUCGCAUUAUUUCAUUAUGCCAGAGAAUGUCCCAUUGAUAUGCAGGCCAGUAACCCUCUUUUGCUGCCACUGAAAAGCUAAUUUUGUAAACAUUGCAAAGGCUUAAGACUUUG
rnacentral:lncRNA from 1 species